AAUUUUUGGUGGAUUAGAUACUGGGG
rnacentral:piRNA from 1 species